rnacentral:misc_RNA from 1 species
CGAAAGAAGAAACUUCAUUAGCCUUAUGUGGGCAGUAAGGAAAUUACAUUGCUGAACUAGAUCAUGAGAUUGCAUCUAAAAGAGAUAUCAUACAUGUAACAUAUUAAAGGCAAUUCUAUGAGCAGCCUUGUUACAAGACCUUUUAACAUGAGAAAGGCUGAUUGAAAAAAAACGUUGACAACAUAUAUAUGGAUAUCAUUAUCAAUUCCUUGGAUAGCUAAAGGGCAUGGACCACCUUGAAGAGCUUGAAUAACAAUACUGGCGUCGCCUUCCGUAAUAACUCGAUGGAAGCCUUUUGACUGAGCCAAAAGAGUUGCCUGGCUCUCUAUCCCAUGGGGUUACUGCGAUGAUCUCUGAAAAUUGCUGCUAAAGAACCUUUUUUGCUUUUAAAGCAUUGUGUAGUUACAUUCUUGCAAAUCCAACCAGCCAAAUAUCGGUAUUAGCGAACAUAGUGGUUGUAACAGCAGCAGCACAGAGAGGGCAUAAAGGAGUAGUUUGCAUACUCUCACUGGGGAUGGUGCAUUAUUUGGUGCCCUUUGUUAGGCUUUGUAAAAUUUUGGGCUUACCACUAACAUUCCUGGGUCCAGCGUCUGCUGAAUAUGCAAAAAAGGUUCCAAGAUCAUGCCAGCAUUCGUAUUGAUGUUAGUGUUAUCUGCACUCUCAGUUCUGGUUCUCCAUGGCUUGAUGCUACUCACUGUAUUCAAUACGGAUAGGCUCUCCAAGAAAAUGAUCCCCUACACUGAAACUUUUUAACAAUUCAAGGACUUAAGCUAUGCAGAAUAGUCGUCUAAAAUCAGUCGUAUUUUGAAACCAUUUAUCGAAAAAAGAAAAAUAAAGAAAAGGACUAACCAUUCCUGACCAUUCUCUUUAAAAGUCAUAAGAAGAGCAGGUCUUGAGUUGUCCUCACAAUGCACCACAUUUUCUCCGCACAAUAUUGACCCAUUCUUCUUCGUUAUGAAGCCUACUUGAAUUGAACACAGAAAAUAAAAACCUAUUUUCUCUUUCCUUUUUCCUAUUUUGCUUCUCUCUUUUUCUCCACUUACAAUAAUGCAUAACUCAAACUUGAACCAUAAUAAAAAAAAUCAAAUUUAAAAUUUUCCAGAUGAAUAGGAUAAAAGUAAAAUGGAAUUUGAAAAAUCUAUUUGAUGAAGGUGCUCAGUUCCUUAAGUAUUCUUCUUGGUACUUGAAUGAGAUAAUCUCAAGUCCAAAGAUUGAAGUUGGUUCCGUAGGUUUUGGUUCUCCUCAAGUAAGCGAUCAUACUCCAGAAGGAAUCCUUCAGAUUGCUUCCUCAGAGCUGCUGCAUUAGCUUCUGAAGCAUGAACCUCUUUUGUUUUCACCUCCAGUUCUGAUUCUAGUUGCUUAAGUUUUGCUAGUAGUGUGGUCAUCUCUUUUUCGAGGACUUUGCUCUCCUCAACUUUUCCAUCCUCAAUAACUCGAUUUUGUUUCUUCACAGCAUCCAUGCUCUUCCGCCGUAUACGGAGUUCUUUGAUAUAAUGGUGCAGUCUGUCCAUCGAUAGUGCAAGGAAGAGAGAGGAUCCUGCAGGUUGCAAAGUCCAGAUUUAUACAGGUCCAAAGGCCAAUAAGAUCAACAAAAAACGGUGAACUUUGAAAAGUUUAACCUUUAUGCAUCAAACUCUAACAACGUCCCAGGAUAGACAGGAACAAGAAGUACAACAGAUUAGGGAAAAUCAAAAACUCUUCACUAGCAGAGAUAUGAUGCAUUGUCAUUGCCCAGAAAAUUGUUAUCAAGAAUGAGAAAGAGAGAGAGCAACAAAAAUAUUACAAGCAUUUUAACAAAUGUCACAGUCAAUAGUGUCAUACUCGAAUGAAUACAAACAGUAGCAAAGUUCACAAAUAACAGGGGAAAGAAAACUUAGAACAGCACGCAGUAAAAUAUGCAACCAGAAAAAUGACACUCCUCCAAUCACAAUGAAAUUAAGUGGUCCUAUGUCUCGCCACUGUUUGAGGAUCAUAUUCAGGCUUCAGGUCACUGUGCAAUUUAAACUACUAUUCUAUUCAAACCUUAGAGUUUGAUAGAUGUCUGGUGUCAAAUUUUUAUGAUCUUCCAGGAUAAUGGAUUACGGAUGGCAAAAAAAAAAUCCCUUUUUUACUUUAGAAUGAAGAUAUCCAACCAAAAAGCUCUUCAAGCAAACAACUCAGUGAUCAUAUACAAUUAUGUGAAAAAUUGAACAAAAUGACAAUCCAAAAUAACAAUGCCCAUUUCACGAGCAGUAUUACUACUACCCAUACUGAAACACCCAUUACCCAUUAAAUUAAAUUCGCAUGAGGAAAAAUGGAUCUAUAACUUGCUCAAUCAUACAUUAAAAAACACAAUUAGAUCUAUAACACGACCAAUCAGACAUAAAAAAAAUGAUUGGUUCCAAUCCAGUCCGCCUCUUUACAUUAAUCCCACAAAACUCACAAACUUCAAGAAACAGAAGCAAAGCAUGAAACUAACAAUUACCCAUAAGAGUGGCCUCAAGAAGGUUCUUGGCCAUGAGAACCUGGUCCGUUGGAUUGACAGCACCCUCAUCGAUCCAACGCUUCUGGAUCUUCAUCAUGCUGUACACACUUGACAUCAACACCACAAAAACCGUCCCUGCCACCGUCUUUACCACGAUUGGGCCGUGACCUCGCUUGACCCGAUCCAGACUCAUCAACACUAACUUUCUUAAUGGGGUCUUGAACACAAGCACCAUUAUCAAUGCCAUCUCAGAAAAUAUCAGUGUAAACAGUAGCUGAAUCAUUUCUUUGUCCUUUUUUGUACUCCGUACGAGAGAGAUGGAGAGCUAAGAUUUCAAAGUAAACGAUUUUGGAGGAUAUGAGCUAACAUGGGGUUACAGCAAUCGAAGUGGAGAGCAGAGAUAAUUGAAGAGAUCAAAGAAAUGAAGAGAAGGAGAAGAGGAUUUUCAAUAAAAUGAUCAAAUGAAAGAGAGGGCUUCCUUUUCUCCGCACUCGUGUGAUGACUCU